AUUGAACGCUGGCGGCAGGCCUAACACAUGCAAGUCGAGCGAGCGGCGGACUGGUUCGUAAUGUCUGGGAAACUGCCCGAUGGAGGGGGAUAACUACUGGAAACGGUCGCUAAUACCUCAUACCAUCAGAUGUGCCCAUGUGGGAUUAGCUAGUGGGUGGGGUAACGGCUAACCUAGGCGACGCGCCCUAGCUGGUCUGAGAGGAUGACCAGCCACACGGGAACUGAGACACGGGCCAGACGCCUACGGGAGGCAGCAGUGGGGAAUAUGGCAAAAUGGGCGCAAGCCUGAUGCAGCCAUGCCGCGUGUGUGAAGAAGGCCUUCGGGUUGUAAAGCACUUUCAGCGGGGAGGCGUUACCCGCAGAAGAAGCACCGGCUAACUCCGUGCCAGCAGCCGCGGUAAUUC
rnacentral:rRNA from 1 species